UUUGAUUUGCAAGAGCUCGGAGGUCCCUUGAAGAGUUCCUCUAAAGCCUAUUGAGCUACAUACAGCCUUCAUGUUAUGUGUUUUCUCUCUGUAGGUCUGGGGCAUGCAAGGAGAGCUCAUUCCCAAGCAGGCAUCCCCCAGCCAUGUGAAUAGACUGCAGAGAGCUGACCACUGUUGAUCAGAAUGGAUCCUGUCAUUCAUGGACACAUCCUUCCUUGCAUUCGCAAACAGAUCCAUGCUUUUCUCAGACUUUGUCAUGGGAAUUGCUCAGGGGAAGCCAAUUCCCACAUUGCACUUUGUCUUCGGUUAGAAGCUUAACAAAUUCCAGUUAUGCAGCUUUGCUGCUGUCCCCAGCCUGCAGGAAUAUCACUGCCUCUGUUGGAGUUAUAAGCCCAAGGAUUAUGUUUCAUGUUACUGAGCCAUGACAGCAUGGAAAUGAACACAGAGAGAUACAAACACCAUCAAACCCACUUAACUUCAAAUCAGUUCUUGGCUAUUUCUACCACCAACACGGUUCCAGUGCUAGUAGAUGCUCUUCAAAUAUCAGUAAGUUUUGGCAGCUUCUCUUCAGCAAAAGGAGACAGGAUCUUUGGAAUACAGCUUUUUUUUCACCCAGAUCUUUUCAAGAAGUCUCCCCCUUCUGCUCAUUCUAGGAUUAAGAAGGUGACCAUGUGAUGACAAGUACAAGAUGAAGCAAUGGGAGGUGGACUCCAUGCCCAGCUCCACCACUGCCACAAGGCAUGACCAUGCCUCCAGCCCUCCAGCUGAUGAUGGGGCACUGCUGAAUGAUGCCCAUUCCUUGGCGUGCGAGUGAGCAGGCAGGGCACCCCAGCAGCAUGGAUUGUUCUGCACACAUUGUUAUGGAAAUUGCCUUAGAGACAGUUGUUCCAAUGUACAUUUUUAGAAGCUGAGUGAGCUUCGUGGCAGGAAAACCGCUCCAAGGGGAGGAAAACCACCCACCGGGCCCCCAGCACUGCCCCUUCCUCCAGCAACACGGUGCAGCCUUGCCGGCUCUCUUGUAGGAAUGGGGUUCAGGGUGUUUCUUUGCCUGGUAAGGCAGGGAGAAGGAUCCUCUGGAGGAGAAGCCCUUACAGCAUCAGUCUCCAAGGAAACCCUUGGGGCUGCGUGGCUCAGCCUCUGCCGCACACCCAGAGUUUGGGCAGUGGCUCACAUGUCCCAGACGUGUGCCUGAAUCCAUACUCCAUCUGUCAGAGGUACUUCAGUAGUGCAAACUGCUCCAGUUUAGGAAAAAUGUGGGGAUUUCCUACCCCUAGACGCCACUUUAUCUCGGAGAUGCUCAUGGUUGAUGUGCAGCACAAGUGAUGUCCUCCCCUGAGCUCGAGAGAAAUUAGCCCUAUCUCUGUUUUGAAUGCACAUUCCUCGCUGCUGAGUCUGAAAGGAGAAGCCUUUAAUGCUCCCACAACUCCAAGCUUCUCAAGAGCAUGCCUGGGAGCUGUGGUGGUUACCAGGAAGCUCGGGCAGCAGAUCUGCUGCCACCAGUCUGGUAGCAGUGCCCGAGCCAGAGUGAGUCACCUCCAGCUGUGGGCAAAGAGGGGCUGCCUUUGCCCACUGCAAGGCAGGAGGGGCAGAGGAGAGCAAGCAAGUUGCUACCUUAGAUGCUUUCAAAACAGCCAUCAGCACAGGCAGUUUCACUGCUCACCCCCAUUCAUACUGGAAUGCUCAGCCCUCGUCUCACCUUUGACCACACUGAGCUCUUUUCACCUCAAUUAUAAACACAGACAAGGUUUGCUUCUUUCAGGCUUUGCUGUGCUCAUCAUCACUGCCUGCUAUGGAGCAGGACCACACCUCCAGUCUGUGCCCAGGAGCUUCCUGCAGCCCCAGCUGAUGAAAGGGAAAAGCAUGGACUCAGUGACCUUUGUUUGCAUAACUGCUGCCCACAGCCCCUGCUUGACAUUCGAGGAGCUGAGGAAGGUGCAUGGUGAUGGGGGAAACCAAUGAACCUCAGUUGUUGUUGGCUGAGUAUCAGGGUGAGCUGUGGCUUGUCCUUUCUCUCUCUGGAAGUCCCAGUUGACUUGCAUGGUGGUGUCUCACCAGGAACCAAGGACAAAGAACCUCCUUCCAUCUCCUCCCUGGCCAGGCAGAGAGUUUGGCCAUAGUCUGUAUAUUCCCAAGACCAUUUUGUUGCCCACAGCAGCAAUGGAGUGGGGUGCUUGGCUGUUUGGGAUGGUGUGUUGAUCACUGCUGGUGUCAUGGGAUGGGGUGAGAGCUGGAAAGGGACCUUGUUGUCAAAACAGGGAUGCUGGGAGUCACAAGGUGGUGGCUUGGUAAAUGGUGGAAGGGUAAUUCUUUGUGUUUUAUAUUCUGAGCCAUUUAAGCUUAUUUUACCUGCCUUGCUAGUUUAUCUACUGCACUUGCAAUGGUUGGAAGUGUCCUUUUAUUUUGUUUUCUUUCCUUUCAAUAUGAAAACUCAGCUUUUGGAGUUAGGAAGCAGAAGCUUGGCCACAGAAACUUACAGCCCUGGGCUGUGCCUGACCAGCAAAGUGAGAUGCCUUCGCUGGACACCUGGCUGCUUUAGCAACAGAUAGCAGUGAAGGGCACUUUAAUAUUUAUCCUGAGCUAAAAAAACAAGUAGAACAGAGAAAAAUACACAAAGUAGGCCAUGAAAACAGAGUUUGUGAACAUCUGAGAUCCGCUCCUAAUUAAUAGCAGUUCCCAUCCCAGAAAUCAUGCCAUUCAGCAAAAGUUAAUCAUCUUUGCUCAUACAUACAAUACACUUCAAGAGAGAAUGAGUCACCCUCAUUGAAAUGUCUGAUGUUAUGAAAUCCAGUGUGACUGAUGUAACAGACCCGGCUCAGCUCUCCAAAUUGGCCGGGAGCACCAACAGCGAAGCACAGCCCGUGUGUAACUUGAUUUCAGUGAGUUCUGCUUGUUUGUAUGCGGCUGGAUUCCAUCCUUAGUUACCAAAACAGCCUCACAACGGAGGUCCGGACAGGCUGAGGGUGGGCAGGUGAGUGGUUGGUGUCACCAGGCCCCGGUGGUCCUCACCAGGGAGGAGCCCAUGGAGCCCAUCCCCACCUCUGGAGGAGCCCAUGGAGCAGCUCUGCACAGAGGCCCUGAUCCUGCCAAUGUCUGAGCACAUGCGGAAUUCCCAGCUCCGUUGGGGUGCCAGGAACCAGCACUUCAAUCACAGCACUCUGUGUGUUUAACUAUUCACAGGCCCCGGGAUUGACUCUUCGUUCCUUGGUUCAGGGAGGAAUGUAGGUUGAAUUCAGCAUUAAGAUUCUGCCUUGAUAUUGGAUGUUACCUCUUAAAUUAAAUACUAUUACCUGCAGCCACUUCCCUUUGGCACUGGAGCCAUUCGCUUGGUGUUACUUUGGUUAAAUGUCACCAUAUGAAUUACUGAAAGUAAUUUAAAUAUUUAAAGACAUCUAUUGCAAGCCUAAUUUUAUUUGCAACUCCCGAGCCAGACUCGCAGCUGAUGCAGCAGAUAACAGCUCAGCCCUGCACCCCUGGGCCCUCUCCCAGCUCUUUAAAUACAUCAUUUGCAUUUCCAACACCUUUCACCCAACAAGUCUGGGCUCUGAGAUAGUCCUUUUUUACUGUCACAUUUUCUUCUAUCUUUGAGGCCUUACAGCCCUUCUACGGUGGGUGCGAGUCCCUUGGCGGGUUCUUCUCCUAUCCAUCCAUCCAUCCUUGGCUGCCCUUCUGGGACAUCUACCCUAUAGGGCAAACUCUGGGAGAUCUAACAUCAGAAAUGCCAGGCCCCCAGCAGGCUCCCAGCUCACAUUUCAUGUUUUCCAAGUAGAGAAGAUCCUCCUCCCUGGACAACCUUUUCAUUUCUUGUUAUCUUUAUGAACAGCUAUAAAAAAAAGUAUCAUUUCUGGCACAUUGGCCAUGCUGCUGAAAAGCUGUUCCUCUUCCACCUCCUCCUUCACCCACUCAGAUGAAAAACUACAGGUAAUGUUGGGGAGUAAAUGAAAGGCUUUCCAUGGGGAAAUCAGCUAAAAUAGUAAACAAAAGGCUAAUUCUUAAAAGCAAAACAGCUGAAGAUGUUACCAGGAAAUCACAGUGAUGAAACACUCCUGGUCCUCGGAAAUUGCCUUAUAUGCUCUUGGAAAUUACCUCCUGACUCAACUGCCUUAAUGUGCCUGACGCCACUUUGCCAGUAGCUUUUACUUGUCCUGAAUACCCAUGGUUGACAAGGAAAUAAAAUUUCCCAUGAGAAAUGCCACCACUUAGACCAAACCUCCCCUGGUUUUCCUGGGAAAGACUUGGGUUAGGUGUGUGCUGUGAUUCCUCCAGCUCCUGGAAGCAGCCUACCCCAAUGAGCUGUGCUCCCACCACUGUGUCCUCAUGAGCAGUUGGUUUGCAGGGCCAGGGCUGACCCCCUGCAUGCUGAGCUGUGUGGGAUCAAAGCUGGUCACCCCUCUGCCUGCCAUCUCAGUUUCCCUAAUGCAAGGCCCCAGUUGCCUUUUAAUCCUGUUGCAGGUAUGUCCCAGAGCACUCAUCUUGCAGGAUGCUCUCUGGAGAUGA